ACCGGAGCUAAUACCGGAUAAUAUUUUGAACCGCAUGAUUCAAAAGUGAAAGACGGUCUUGCUGUCACUUAUAGAUGGAUCCGCGCUGCAUUAGCUAGUUGGUAAGGUAACGGCUUACCAAGGCAACGAUGCAUAGCCGACCUGAGAGGGUGAUCGGCCACACUGGAACUGAGACACGGUCCAG
rnacentral:rRNA from 1 species